rnacentral:rRNA from 1 species
AUGCAUGUAGUAGGUUCCAGUCUUCUUAAUGGAAAUGCUGCGACGAGCAUGACAGAUCUGGACCAAAGCUAUGUACAUUUCACGUCGAAAAUCAUAUUAUACCAUUCGAAAACGUCGAGGGUCAUGUAUUUUCAUGUGGCCAGCUUCGUCGUGCGUCGGCAGGCAUCCAUGGCGUCGAUCGUCUGCAUGGCGUGGCACCUGUUUCAGCGACAUGUACAUCCCGGCAUACAUUUCUCGGGCAUUUGUUCGCUUCGUGACCACCCGAUCGAUCGUGUCGACGACGUAUGUGUACCGUUUUGGUCGGGCGCGGGCAAGGCUUUAAUACCGAAAUGGACCGGCAGGCAGAGUAGAGCUGCGGUAGGUGCCUGCUGA